UACGUAGGGACCGAGCGUUGUCCGGAUUCAUUGGGCGUAAAGAGCUCGUAGGCGGCCACUCAAGUCGAAUGUGAAACCUCGAGGCUUAACCUCGAGCCUGCAUUCGAUACUGGGCGGCUAGAGUCUGGUAGGGGGAUCUGGAAUUCCUGGUGUAGCGGUGGAAUGCGCAGAUAUCAGGAAGAACACCCGUGGCGAAGGCGGCUCUCUGGGACGGUACUGACGCUGAGACGCGAAAGCGUGGGGGAGCGAACAGG
rnacentral:rRNA from 1 species